rnacentral:rRNA from 1 species
UACGAAGGGGGCUAGCGUUGUUCGGAUUUACUGGGCGUAAAGCGCACGUAGGCGGAUCGUUAAGUCGGGGGUGAAAUCCUGGAGCUCAACUCCAGAACUGCCUUCGAUACUGGCGAUCUUGAGUCCGGAAGAGGUGAGUGGAACUCCUAGUGUAGAGGUGGAGUUCGUAGAUAUUAGGAAGAAACACCAGUGGCGAAGGCGGCUGCCAGC